rnacentral:rRNA from 1 species
GGACCUGACUGCUAUCGGAUUGAUACUAAGCCAUGCGAGUCAUUGUAGCAAUACAAGGCAUACGGCUCAGUAACGCGUAGUCAACCUAACCUAUGGACGGGAAUAACCUCGGGAAACUGAGAAUAAUGCCCGAUAGAACAUUAUGCCUGGAAUGGUUUAUGUUCCAAAUGAUUUAUCGCCGUAGGAUGGGACUGCGGCCUAUCAGUUUGUUGGUGAGGUAAUGGCCCACCAAGACUAUUACAGGUACGGGCUCUGAGAGGAGUAGCCCGGAGAUGGGUACUGAGACACGGACCCAGGCCCUAUGGGGCGCAGCAGGCGAGAAAACUUUGCAAUGUGCGAAAGCACGACAAGGUUAAUCCGAGUGGUUUCUGCUAAAGAAACCUUUUGUCGAGUCCUAGAAACACUGAUGAAUAAGGGGUGGGCGAAGUUCUGGUGUCAGCG